rnacentral:rRNA from 1 species
GACGUAGGGCGCGAGCGUUGUCCGGAUUUAUUGGGCGUAAAGAGCUCGUAGGUCGGCUUGUCGCGUCGAACUGUGGAAAUCCCGCCGGCUCAACUGCGGGAUCUGCAGUCGAUACGGGCAGGCUAGAGUUCGGUAGGGGAGACUGGAAUUCCUGGAUGUAGCGGUGAAAUGCGGCAGAUAGUCAGGAGGAACACCGGUGGCCGAAGGCGGGAUCUCUGGGCCGAUAACUGACGCUGGAGGAAGCGAAAGGUCGUACGGGGAGCGAACACG